GCUGAGAGUAGGAGUGUUCCUGUUUCAGGCAGCAGAGGACAGUAACACAUGACUCGCUGAUCUUCUAAGUAAUGUAAACCUAUGGAAAUUAAGGGUUGAAGAGGCUUUUGGUGGAAGGUGAGCCUAUGGCCACAGUGAUGCCAGGAGUCAACCAGAGCAGUGUAAAGAUGGGAGAGUGAACAGUGAACAGCUGGAUACAUCUGUGCCAUCAUUACUAGCCCAGGUCUCAGGCGACUAAACCAGAGAAAAUCCACUGGAAUCACGAGGGCCUUUAUUUCUGAUGUUGCGAGCUGGUUUGUGAUUCCUCAUUGCGAUGAUUCUAAAAAUAAUGCGCCAGGGCUGCGGGUUUUCCCAUGUGAAAAUACAGUAUGGGGGCACUUCUCGCAGUCAGGGCUUCUUGCACAGAGAUCCCACGUCCUGAAUGCUUCCGUGACUGAUACAUUUGCAGUUCAGACUCAACUUUGCUGGAGGUGCGUCCGCCUUUAUUUUUAUUUUUGUGCCUAUGUUUUCUAAGACGAGUCAACUUUUGUUCUCGAAUGCUACGGCAAAGACAGGAAAAAAAAUGUUCUUUUUUUUUUAAGCCAAACGAUGGCUUGUUAUUCUGGUGUAAUAAGCUUCCAGAAAUUCCUGCUCUCCCCCUCCUUCUCUACCUUUAAUUCUGGGAGACUUGCAACGGACUGGACUAGGGGGAAUCUCGUAUUCCGUGAUGUUUAGCCGACAUUUGUUACUUGCCGGUCAGGGUAACUCACUGAACGUUUCUAAUCUCGCUCAUUGCGUUCCUUUGUGUCCCUAAUGCGAAAUACAAUUAAUUCGGCGGGGGCUGUUCCCCGGGGACUUCCGUCAGCUGCCGCAUCCCUCCAGCCCGGCCAUGACGCCAGGCCAGACGUUCCCCAGUGCCCAGGCCCGAGCCGCUGGCCCUGCAAGGGAAGGGGGCCGGGGCUGGUUGGGGCUGCCCCGCUUCCUCCCGGACAAGGCGGCCACUC